rnacentral:rRNA from 1 species
GUGAGUAGUUCAGAGUUUGAUCCUGGCUCAGGACGAACGCUGGCGGCAUGCCUAACACAUGCAAGUCGAACGGAACUUUUUCAAUUGAUUUCUUCGGAUUGAUUUUGGUUAAGUUUAGUGGCGGACGGGUGAGUAAUGCGUGAGUAACCUGCCUCCGAGAGGGGAAUAACAAUCUGAAAAGAUUGCUAAUACCGCAUAACAUAUGUUUACCGCAUGGUAGAUAUAUCAAAGAUUUAUCGCUCGGAGAUGGACUCGCGUCCGAUUAGGUGGUUGGUGAGGUAACGGCUCACCAAGCCGACGAUCGGUAGCCGGACUGAGAGGUUGAACGGCCACAUUGGGACUGAGACACGGCCCAG